GAUGAACGCUAGCGAUAGGCUUAACACAUGCAAGUCGAGGGACCGGCGCACGGGUGCGUAACGCGUAUGCAACUUGCCUCACAGAGGGGGAUAACCCGUCGAAAGACGGACUAAUACCGCGUACUGUGAGAUAGGCAUGCGUCCCAUGAGAUAGUUGGUGAGGUAACGGCUCACCAAGGCGACGAUGGGUAGGGGAACUGAGAGGUUGAACCCCCACACUGUUACGGAGACACGGACCAGACUGCUACGGGAGGCAGCAGUGAGGGAUAGUGGUCAAUGGGCGAGAGCCUGAACAAGCCGAGUCGCGUGAAGGAUGACUGCAUAUGGAAUGUAAACUUCUGUUAUACGGGAAUAUGGACCGUAUGAAUAAACGUCGGCUAACUCCGGGCCAGCAGCCGCGGUAAUUC
rnacentral:rRNA from 1 species